GGGGAAAGUUCUGAAACUGUUUUACCAGAACGAGAAACUGAAACAGAAGAACUUGUACAGAAACGAGGAGCUGUGUCCGUUGUUUGGAAGUACUUUGGGUUUAAAAAGUCCGACGUCGACCAAACUACAAUACUAUGCAAAUGCUGUCACGCUAAAGUUGUAGCAGCAGGAGGAAACACGAGCAAUUUACUCCACCACCUCAGCCGCAAACAUGUCCUGGAAUAUCAGGAAUGUAAACUACGAGCUUCGUCCUCCUCGUCUGCAGACGGUGUUACGCCACCGGCGCAUCAAAUAAAUAUCCUGGAAGAAAAGUCCCUCCAUGUGCAAUACAAAGCUCCCUAUUCUCUGAAUUUUGAAUCUGUUCUUCUACUGGAAUUGACUAAUAAAGGUUUGCUUUGAUUCUGCUGUUACACUGACACGGGAGGUUGCCAUGGAUACACCGAAUGCACAAUGCUCACCUCGUUGUAGCGAUUACUGGGGAUCUUGAUGGUGGUCUUCCUCACCUCCAUGUCUACAACCAAACCUUUAACCACUGGCAGACUGUACUGGUAGUUACGGAAAUCCUACACCAGGGUGAGAGACAGCACCAGUUACC